UUGACCUCAAUCGGGUGAGACUACCCGCUGACUUAGCAUAUCAUAAGCGGAGGAAAGGAACUACAGGAUUCCCUAGUACUGCGAGUGAGCGGGAAAAGCUCAAUUCAAAUCUGCGUCUUGUGUCGGUGUACUAAAGAGCGUCUUCCGCGCCGGACGUGCACAAGUUCUGGAUGGACGUCAUAGAGGUGAAAUUCGGU
rnacentral:rRNA from 1 species